ensembl:misc_RNA Metazoa_SRP Metazoan signal recognition particle RNA
GCUGGGCACUGUGGCUGCUGCCUGUGAUCCCAGCUCCCAGGGAGGCUGAGGCUGGCAGAUCGCUUGAGCUCAGGAGUUGUGGGCUGCAGUGGGCUGUGCCGAUCGGGUGUCUGCACUAAGUUUGGCAUCAAUAUGGUGAAGCUUGGGGUCCCCAAGUUGCCUAAGGAGGGGUGAACUGGCCCCGGUUGGAAAUGGAGCCGGUCAAAACUCCUGUGCUGAUCAGUAGUGGGAUUGUGCCUGUGAAUAGCCACUGCAGUGUAGCCUGGGUGAGACACAGUCUCUU